UAGUAGGAAGAACUUGAAUUCUCCCUUUUGGUAAGUUCUAUGUCGCUUCAGCACCCUUAUGUGGGAGGAUGGCUUUUUUGAAAUCCUAGGUACAUUACUCCUAUUUUAUAAAUUAUGAUGCGAUGUUAUGGUCACCCGUUAGUGGGUUUGGGUAUGUUGAGGAUGCUGUGCUGUUUGCGCCUGAGAUGAACAAUGUAUCUCAUUGAAUUAGCCUUGGAAGGCCGCCUUUUUCGAAGAGUCUUAAAAACUGUCGCAAGUACCUGUUGUUUGUUCUGAUUUUGUUGGAAAUUGUGUGCGGAGUUUCUCAAAUUCGAUCCCCACCAUCUCGGUGCUAUAAUUGGAAGCAGCAACAGCCGGUUUGGGUGAUUCGGAGUAGGAAAAUCUUAUGACAUUACACCUUUUAAGCAUGACUCCAGAUUGGUUCUCACUCAGUUUGUGUUUUAUUUCGUGGGAGGGACUCAUGUAAUUAAGGGUUAUAUACUUCCUUUUUGCUUAAGAGUGUAUGGGGCAUUACUGGUGAUGAAAUUCCUCUUCCACGAGGAUCUUGUGCCUGCUUUUACCUGAGUCAGCAGCUCCAAGGUGCCUUCCUCUCUUACUCUCGUGAAAGCACAAGUUUUUUAAGAACAUUUCCACCAUUUGCCUUGUGAAUUGAGAUUGGUGUUUUGAGCAAUGAAUUCCAUUGAUAAGAUCCAUGCCGGACUUGCUACCGGAGCUUAGAAUUGGAACUUUCCGGCAAUCUCUAUGGAAACCAACUGCUCGCUCGCAAAAGCAGUGAAAGUGCAAAUUGCUUGUGUUGUUCAGAUGAGGAUACUGGUUACAUCAGGGAAAGCCUUCAUAGGCUUGAGUCAAGUAUUGUUUGGUGCUGCGAGCCUGCUAACUAUAGAUGUAACUCUUGAAAGGGGAAAUUUAAGAAUUCCUCUGGAGAAAAACAGAAACUGAUGAGCUGCUGUACUUGGCAAAUCGAUUGUUCUAGUCCUUGCAUUCUUUUCUUAA